AUGUCAUCAGUUGAGUCUCUAGGCCUGUUUCUUUGGAUAGUAGGUUCCCCUCAAUCUGUAAGACAAGCAGAAAAUAGAUUUGUUAGGUCAUUGGAGACAAUUGUAAGGAAGUUUGAUAAGGUUUUGGAAUGUCUGAUCAAGCUUGCAAAAGACAUCAUCAGGCCAAUAGAUCGUCAAUUCAGAACUGUGCAUUCCAAAUUAAGAUCUAGAAAGUAUGCACCAUUUAUGGAUAAUUGCAUUGGUGCAAUAGAUGGGACACACAUACAAGUUGUGGUACCAGUUGCCACUGCUACCCAGCAUAGGAAUAGACAUAAGGAGAAGAGUCAGAAUAUGAUGUGUGUGUGUGACUUUGAUAUGAGAUUCACAUUUGUCCUAGCUGGUUGGCCAGGAUCAGUGCAUGACAUGAGGGUCUUCAAUGAUGCACGAUCCAGAUUUGGUGACAAGUUUCCAAAACCUCCACCUAAUAAGUUUUAUCUUGUGGACUCAGGGUACCCAAAUAGACCGGGUUAUCUUGCACCAUACAAGGGUUUAACCUAUCAUUUCCAGGAGUACCAUGAUGGCACAAUGCCUAGAGGAAAAAGGAACACUACAAUUUCACCCAUUCUUCACUUAGAAAUGUCAUCGAGAGGUGUUUUGGAGUCUUGA
rnacentral:rRNA from 1 species